GGGGGUGACAUGGAUUCGACGGAGUACGACAGCCGUCGUAGCUGCAUGCCGAGCUUGCUGGUGCUGCUCGUAAAUACAACCAGCGAUGGCAAAAUGCCAACUCGUUCAGCUACGCAAUGGCUGCCUAAAAGCGGCACCAUUGCUGGGUAGUGUCGAGCGUAGCUCCACUCCCUGCUGCUCGCACGUGCGCCAUCACGCGUGUGAAAGCAGCAUCGAAAGCCUGAUGGCUCGUGCCAGUAGCGUAUCGUUCCGCUACAGGUACGGUAAACUCGAACGAUAGCUCGGGCGGCGCGUGUCGCUCCGCAACCGCACCGAGCGAAACCCGAAAGAGCGACUGAGCAUGGAGAUGCUACGCGACUGGUGCUUCGGACCCGGGUUCGACCCCCGGCACCUCCACAA
rnacentral:tmRNA from 1 species